AUUGAACGCUGGCGGCAUGCCUUACACAUGCAAGUCGAACGGCAGCACGGGAGCAAUCCUGGUGGCGAGUGGCGAACGGGUGAGUAAUAUAUCGGAACGUGCCCAGUAGUGGGGGAUAACUGCUCGAAAGAGCAGCUAAUACCGCAUACGACCUGAGGGUGAAAGGGGGGGAUCGCAAGACCUCUCGCUAUUGGAGCGGCCGAUAUCAGAUUAGCUAGGUGGUGGGGUAAAGGCCUACCAAGGCAACGAUCUGUAGUUGGUCUGAGAGGACGACCAGCCACACUGGGACUGCGACACGGCCCAGACUCCUACGGGAGGCAGCAGUGGGGAAUUUUGGACAAUGGGCGCAAGCCUGAUCCAGCAAUGCCGCGUGCAGGAAGAAGGCCUUCGGGUUGUAAACUGCUUUUGUCAGGGAAGAAAUCCUCUAGGUUAAUACCCUUGGGGGGAUGACGGUACCUGAAGAAUAAGCACCGGCUAACUACGUGCCAGCCGCCGCGGUAACAC
rnacentral:rRNA from 1 species